CCUACGGGUGGCAGCAGUGGGGAAUAUUGGUCAAUGGGCGCAAGCCUGAACCAGCCAAGUAGCGUGAAGGAUGACGGCCCUACGGGUUGUAAACUUCUUUUAUACGGGAAUAACGCGCGUCACGUGUGGCGUUUUGCAUGUACCGUAUGAAUAAGGAUCGGCUAAUUCCGUGCCAGCAGCCGCGGUAAUACGGAGGGUCCGGGCGUUAUCCGGAUUUAUUGGGUGUAAAGGGAGCGUAGGCGGGAUGUCAAGUGAGUUGUGAAAGGUUGUGGCUCAACCGGAGAAUUGCAAUUGGAACUGGCAGGCUUGAGUACAGGUGAGGUAGGCGGAAUUCGUGGUGUAGCGGUGAAAUGCUUAGAUAUGACGAAGAACUCCGAUUGCGAAGGCAGCUUGCUGAAGUGGAACUGACGCUGAUGCUCGAAAGCGUGGGUAUCGAACAGGAUUAGAUACCCUUGUAGUC
rnacentral:rRNA from 1 species